UACGUAGGGCGCAAGCGUUGUCCGGAAUUAUUGGGCGUAAAGAGCUCGUAGGCGGCUUGUCACGUCGAUUGUGAAAGCCCGAGGCUUAACCUCGGGUCUGCAGUCGAUACGGGCUAGCUAGAGUGUGGUAGGGGAGAUCGGAAUUCCUGGUGUAGCGGUGAAAUGCGCAGAUAUCAGGAGGAACACCGGUGGCGAAGGCGGCUUGCUGGGCCAGUUCUGACGCUGAGGAGCGAAAGCGUGGGGAGCGAACAGG
rnacentral:rRNA from 1 species